rnacentral:misc_RNA from 1 species
GUAACAAGGUCUCCGUUGGUGAACCAGCGGAGGGAUCAUUACCGAGUUUACAACUCCCAAACCCCUGUGAACAUACCUAUACGUUGCCUCGGCGGAUCAGCCCGCGCCCCGUAAAAAGGGACGGCCCGCCCGAGGACCCCUAAACUCUGUUUUUAGUGGAACUUCUGAGUAAAACAAACAAAUAAAUCAAAACUUUCAACAACGGAUCUCUUGGUUCUGGCAUCGAUGAAGAACGCAGCAAAAUGCGAUAAGUAAUGUGAAUUGCAGAAUUCAGUGAAUCAUCGAAUCUUUGAACGCACAUUGCGCCCGCCAGUAUUCUGGCGGGCAUGCCUGUUCGAGCGUCAUUUCAACCCUCAAGCUCAGCUUGGUGUUGGGACUCGCGGUAACCCGCGUUCCCCAAAUCGAUUGGCGGUCACGUCGAGCUUCCAUAGCGUAGUAAUCAUACACCUCGUUACUGGUAAUCGUCGCGGCCACGCCGUAAAACCCCAACUUCUGAAUGUUGACCUCGGAUCAGGUAGGAAUACCCGCUGAACUUAAGCAUAUC